rnacentral:rRNA from 1 species
GCGGCAGCGCGGGGGCAACCCUGGCGGCGAGCGGCGAACGGGUGAGUAAUACAUCGGAACAUGUCCAGUUGUGGGGGAUAGCCCGGCGAAAGCCGGAUUAAUACCGCAUGAGCUCUGGCGAGGAAAGCGGGGGACCGAAAGGCCUCGCGCGACUGGGUUGGCCGAUGUCCGAUUAGCUAGUUGGCGGGGUAAGAGCCCACCAAGGCGAUGAUCGGUAGCUGGUCUGAGAGGAUGAUCAGCCACACUGGGACUGAGACACGGCCCAGACUCCUACGGGAGGCAGCAGUGGGGAAUUUUGGACAAUGGGGGCAACCCUGAUCCAGCCAUUCCGCGUGAGUGAAGAAGGCCUUCGGGUUGUAAAGCUCUUUUGUCCGGAGCGAAACGGUGGCGGUGAACAUCCGCCACUACUGACGGUACCGGAAGAAUAAGCACCGGCUAACUACGUGCCAGCAGCCGCGGUAAUACGUAGGGUGCGAGCGUUAAUCGGAAUUACUGGGCGUAAAGCGUGCGCAGGCGGGCUUUUAAGCCAGACGUGAAAUCCCCGGGCUUAACCUGGGAAUGGCGUUUGGGACUGGGAGUCUGGAGUGCGGCAGAGGAGACUGGAAUUCCUGGUGUAGCAGUGAAAUGCGUAGAUAUCAGGAGGAACACCGAUGGCGAAGGCAGGUCUCUGGGCUGACACUGACGCUCAUGCACGAAAGCGUGGGGAGCAAACAGGAUUAGGUACCCUGGUAGUCCACGCCCUAAACGAUGUCGACUGGUUGUUGGGGGUUUGACACUCUCAGUAACGAAGCUAACGCGUGAAGUCGACCGCCUGGGGAGUACGGCCGCAAGGUUAAAACUCAAAGGAAUUGACGGGGACCCGCACAAGCGGUGGAUUAUGUGGAUUAAUUCGAUGCAACGCGAAAACCUUACCUACCCUUGACAUGUCC